AAUUUCCUUUAGGAUACUUAGGAUGUUGAAAACGGUGACCACCGUACACUAAACGAGCUCCUUUGCUAACAGCAUCCUGUAUUAAAGAUUCUAAAUGAUCAAAUCGAUUAUUAGAUACCAUAGCACCCAUAUCGACAUCAUUUUGGGUGUACAUGCCAAGUCUCAUAGUGGAAAUUCUGUUGUAUAAUUUCGUAAUUAUGGUGUCGUAAACGCCAUCCAAAGCAAUGAUACGCUCAAUACCAAUACAAUUUUGUCCGGCACUUUGGAAAACACCUCGCAUAACUAUAGACAAGAUCUCUUCUAGUCUGUGGUCGUCAGUUAAAAUACAAGGAUCUUUUCCUCCUAAUUCAAGGCACAAGGGAGUAAGUUGUUUUGCAGCAGAAGCAGCAACCAAUUUUGCGAUAGGCUGAGAACCAAUGAAAGUUAUAUGCUUAAUUCCAGAGUGACUGGUAAGGUGAUCAGCAACAUCUGGUAGACAAGUAAUACAUUGAACGAGUUCAGGGGAAUGGCCCAUUGAUUGUAAUAAACUACGAACCAUUUCACAAUAUUGAUGUGUAGACCACGCUGUAAGCUCGCU